rnacentral:sRNA from 1 species
CAACAAGCGAAAGGAGGUGGUCCAGUGUCUAUAGAGGGAUUGGAGCGAGGUGUCGGAACAGUUCGGGAGGGGAUCGCCUGAGGCAGCCCUUGGGUGAAAACGACCUGAAUUGGUGCGCCUAACCGGCCCACCUCCGCGACUUCUAGAGGGCCGUUCCCAGAUGGGACGGCCC